GGAGAUGCUGUGGUUCAGUGGUAGGACCUCCGCUUGGCAUGUCUAAAGUCCCAGAUUCAAUUCCUGGCAUCUCCA
rnacentral:tRNA from 1 species